rnacentral:rRNA from 1 species
UACAGGGGGGGCAAGCGUUGUUCGGAAUUACUGGGCGUAAAGGGUUCGUAGGUGGCCAACUAAGUCAGACGUGAAAUCCCUCAGCUUAACUGGGGAACUGCGUCUGAUACUGGAUGGCUUGAGUGUAGGAGAGGAAUGCGGAAUUCCAGGUGUAGCGGUGAAAUGCGCAGAUAUCAGGAGGAACACCGGUGGCGAAGGCGGGUCUCUGGGCCGAUACUGACGCUGAGGAGCGAAAGCGUGGGGAGCGAACAGG